CCGGCGCACGGGUGAGUAACGCGUAUGCAACCUGCCCGUUUCAGCGGGAUAACCCGGAGAAAUCCGGCCUAAUACCGCAUGUGGCCGAGGGGAGGCAUCUUCUUUCGGCCAGAGGAGGCAACUCCGGAGACGGAUGGGCAUGCGUGACAUUAGCUUGUUGGCGGGGUAACGGCCCACCAAGGCGACGAUGUCUAGGGGUUCUGAGAGGAAGGUCCCCCACACUGGUACUGAGACACGGACCAGACUCCUACGGGAGGCAGCAG
rnacentral:rRNA from 1 species